UGUCUCCCCAUGAAUUUAAGAAAAUAUUUGCUGGCCUCAUAGAUGCGGACUGCCUGUUAAACAGACAGAGGUGUCCCCUCUUCACCUUAGCACCACAAACAGGAGAACACUGUUGGAAAAGAUGGGAAGAGCAAAAAAAUCUCCUUUGGAGAAUGAUCUAAAAUUCAUUUGGUAAGUCUUCAUAUUUAGAAAAGCAACCAGAAUAUAUUUCAAAUUGCAAAACAGUAAUAAUCAUUAUAGCCUGGCAGUGAAUAGGAUUCUGCCCAGGAAGGGCUAUGAUCUCCCAACCCAUGGCUGCCUCAUGUUUUAACAAAAGUGGUAAAGAUUACCCCACGUCCCACUCUCUCCAUUCCUUCAGCCUUAAGAAAUUCAUCAAGAGAGGAGGAGUUUAAAGAGGAGCUGCUUCUGGCAGAGCAAUCACUACUUUUCUCUUCACAAACACCGUGGCUCUUCUGAGGGAACCCUACAGAUAGGCAUCUCGUCAACACUUCUGGAUUUUUGAUCUGAAACUGGCUUGAAAUUUGGUGCUGUGCGCUUUUUCCUUUAUUCAGGAAAAAAAACAAAAAACAAAGUUGGGAGGUGGUUAAACACCCUUAUCCCCCAAAAACCUAUACAGAGAUUACAGGGGUUUUCUUCCAGGGAUCAGAGAGAAAGAACUAAGGUGGGGAUAAUGUGGCAGCUAGUCUGUCCUGAGGAAAUUAAGAGUCCAGUUCCUGGUGAAAGAUGAGGGGAAAGAAAACUGCCAAGUCCAGUAAUCUCAUUUCCAGCAUGAAGAAUGGGGGUCUGAAAAAAAUUCAGUUGUGGAAGCCAAGGUUAGCCAGUUGAAAAUCCGUGCCACCCAACCCUGGAGUGGAGGGGAUGCUGUGGAGAGGAUGGCGUGGUCCUCAACUGUCCAAGGCACAAAUGCCCAUUUAUGAGGACAGAGAAGAAGAGGAGGCUCUUCUUCAGGAAGAAGAUGGAGAGCGUACCUCGCUUCUUUUACACUCCUUUUUUGAUGACCAAGUAGAAGAAAAUUCAACAUUGCUGGGGCAAGGGCUGACAUCUUGGGAUCACAGAGAAGCAGAAUCUUGUUCCAGGUCUUCUGAGGCUUUGUGCUUAAUGGGUGAACUCUGACUCUGUACAUUCAAGUUUUUCCAGGGUUAUACUUGUAGUUAGCAUAUGCAAAGUCUUUCCAACUACAGGUGAGAAACUGUGGUCAGUAAUAGUGAGCCCUCACUGAUUUCCUCCAAAGGUGGAUUCUGAGGUAAAACAUCAGAACGACCAAGGUGAACACCUGGCUCCACUUGCACCUUUGUUAUCACUUGUGACUUGUGUUCCUCAGAGACCAAUGGCUGGUAAGUAAUGCAGGAGUUGCCACUGGAGCCCGUAUGCGGAGAGAAAGAUAAGCCAGACCGAAACUUUUUGGAAGGAGAAGGCUUCAAGGGGAUCUUCUUAAAUACUGCGUCGCACAUGAAGUGCUGGAACCGUUCAGCGUAGAAGCCUGGGCGAUGCACUGAGACAGCGUCCCCGUCAUGUACCACGGCUUUCCAAGAGUGCUCCAACUUCUUAAGAAACGUGUAAGACUGUAGAAUGUCAAUGAUGCCAAUAUAAAGCAGAAGCCUUUCCCCUUUACUAUUCUGAGCAGGGAUGCCACCCAUAUGGUCAUCGGCCUCCAUGGUGUCGCCCAGCCGAGCCUCUCCCUGGAUGAAUUCCAUGGCUGUGGAAUACAGAGCCUUUUGGGGAGCCAGUCUUUGAGUGUCGAUUGACACUUGAAGAGUGUCGCUGCUUAAGGGCUCUCGUUGUGCAUGAUCUAUAUUGUGGAUUGACAGCCAGAGGCUAUAGUCCAUUAUCUUGAAGCUCUGCAGCACCAAACAGUCACGCUGCAGGGUCUUACAGAGAGCAUUGUACAUGUCAGCAUCCAAAAAAAGACCAUCAGGGAUGUCUUGUAAGAAGUCUAGAUCUUUAAAUGUGGGAAGAGGCUUCUCUCGCUCUUUCUGGGAAGCCCGGCGUUUGUAGGUUGAGCCUUUGAGGUCAUAUUUGAUAUGCAUUUUGACGGAUCUUGGUAAAAGAUUGUUCAUCACCACAAUCCGAAUGUUCUUGCCACCUGUCUGCACACAGUACAGUCCAAAGAAUUUAGGCAGCAAAGUCCGAGGGUUCUGGCUGAGGUUCAAGUAGUAUCCUGGAAGCAGCUUCUGCAGAAACUCCGCCUCUUUAUGUUGGAGUGUCUUAAUAAUGAGUUCAUCGUCGCUGGACACAUAGAACAGGGAACCACUAGCUCCAGAGCUACAGAGUUCAAUCAGCGGCUCACCGCAGAGGGAGCACAAGUAAUCAUCGGGCGGGAUACCAAAUAGCUCCCGAAAGUAGCGGAAGGCAACAGGCGCAUAGGUCUUGAAACGGAAGUCAUUGUAGUGAUGAGCAGGGGUCAGGUUGCUCCCUUCACUGGGGAAGAAGAUACUCUCCACCGCGUAGAAAUCUUGCAUGAGGACAUCACGCUCUGGUUUGGUACUCAGGCUCCCCACAGUAACCCGCGUUCUGCGGGCCACGUCCCC
rnacentral:lncRNA from 1 species